AGAGUUUGAUCCUGGCUCAGGAUGAACGCUAGCGGUCGGUCUAACACAUGCAAGUCGAGCGGCAGCAUGGUGUAGCAAUACACUGAUGGCGAGCGGCGCACGGGUGCGUAACGCGUAGGUAACUUGCCCUUAACAGGGGGAUAGCCCGGCGAAAGCUGGAUUAAUACCCCAGAUAUCUAAUUACGGCAUCGUAAUUAGCUUAAAGCUCCGGCGGUUAAGGAUAGGCCUGCGUCCCAUUAGUUAGUUGGUGAGGUAACGGCUCACCAAGGCGACGAUGGGUAGGGGGUUUGAAAGGAUGAUCCUCCACACUGGCACUGAGACACGGGCCAGACUCCUACGGGAGGCAGCAGUGAGGAAUAUUGCGCAAUGGGCGAAAGCCUGACGCAGCCAGACCGCGUGCAGGAAGACGGUCGUAAGAUUGUAAACUGCUUUUAUAUGCGAGGAACAUUACCGACGUGUCGGUAUUUGACAGUAGCAUACGAAUAAGCACCGGCUAACUCCGUGCCAGCAGCCGCGGUAAUACGGAGGGUGCAGGCGUUAUCCGGAUUCAUUGGGUUUAAAGGGUGCGCAGGCGGAAUGAUAAGUCAGUGGUGAAAUCCCCGGGCUUAACCUGGGAAGUGCACUUAAAACUGUGCAGCUUGAGUAUAGUAGAGGAUAGCGGAAUUCCCGGUGUAGAGGUGAAAUUCGUAGAUAUCGGGAGGAACAUCAGAGGCGAAGGCGGCUAUCUGGGCUAGAACUGACGCAGAGGAGCGAAAGCGUGGGGAGCUAACAGGAUUAGAUACCCUGGUAGUC
rnacentral:rRNA from 1 species